rnacentral:sRNA from 1 species
AAACAAUAAAUAUUUUCUAAAAACUAUUGAAAGUCUCUCGAAAAUUCAUGAACUUCAUCUGCUGUAAAAGCUUUUUGAUAUGACCGAAGCCUAUCAAGAGAGUAAUAGCACGACGAAGAAGAGAAAAGAAAUAAAAAGAAGAUAGAAGAAGAAGUUAGAUCGAGAUCGGAGAAAUAAGAGAGAGGCAAGGAAAUAGGAAACAUUACUUAAUUUCUUAGUUAGAUCAACCCUAAAAUAGAGUUCACCUUAUAUAGUUGUUCCAUUGAAAACUACAAGCUCUCUCAUAACACAAAGCUCAAAUGACACAAAGUUGAUAUAAAAACUACAAACAUUCUUAUUACUUUGAUAAUAAUAUCAAAGACUCUAUAUGCUACAGAGUAUUACUCCACCUUCCUCAUAAGUUUGCUUCAGCCACUUGAAUCAUAAAUCUUCUUGGGAAUUCUCUUUCUUGAAACUUUGAUCGCCUUAUCUGAAUAUUCUUUCUGCAACCUUAUCUUAUCAAUACUCCCCCGUAACGAAGCCACCUUGUCCUCAAGGUAAGACUCGGGAAAUUGUCUAGUAGUUUGAGCCAUCAGUUCCCAUGUGCCCACAUCAACCAAUGUGCCCACAUCUUGGGUUUCCCAUUCACAAAACACCUCAAAUAAGUCUCCAAACAUCAAUUUAAAACCUCUGUCUCACCGUCGGUUUGAGGAUGGUAAGCGGUGCUCUUAUUCAACAAUGUUCCUGGAGCCUUAAAAAGUUCAUACAAGAAGUGACUUACAAAGAUCUUAUCUCUGUUUGACACUAUACUUUCGGGAACCCCGUGCAACCUAACAAUUUCUUUGUUGAAUGCUUAAGCUAAUAUCUUGGCUGUAAAAAAAUGUUUAAGUGGUACAAAAUGUCCAUAUUUGCUCAAUCUAUCCACCACUACUAGGAUCACAUCAUAUCACUUAGAAAUAGGCAAUCCUUCUAUAAAAUCUAGGCUGACAUUAGACUAGAUCUUGGAAGGAAUGGAUAGUGGAAUUGUUGCAAUUUUGAUUUUUGGUUGUACAAAAUGCACACGGACAACGUCAAGCAUAAGGCUCCUCAUCAAAACUCGAUCAUAAUU